UGAGGAAUCUUGCGCAAUGGGGGAAACCCUGACGCAGCGACGCCGCGUGGAGGACGAAGGCCUUCGGGUCGUAAACUCCUGUCAAGAGGGACGAAGUCCGUGCGGAUGAAUAAGCCGUACGGUUGACGGUACCUCUGGAGGAAGCCCCGGCUAACUCCGUGCCAGCAGCCGCGGUAAUACGGAGGGGGCCAGCGUUGUUCGGAAUUAUUGGGCGUAAAGGGCGCGCAGGCGGCCAGGUAAGUCAGACGUGAAAUCCCGCGGCUCAACCGCGGAACUGCGUUUGAAACUGCCUGGCUUGAGUCCCGGAGAGGAUAGCGGAAUUCCCAGUGUAGCGGUGAAAUGCGUAGAUAUUGGGAGGAACACCAGUGGCGAAGGCGGCUAUCUGGACGGGUACUGACGCUGAGGCGCGAAAGCAUGGGGAGCAAACAGGAUUAGAUACCCCCGUAGUCC
rnacentral:rRNA from 1 species